UACAGAAGAAAGGUACCUUUCCGUGCUUGAAUUGUGUCUGUUGCGCCUCGAUAAUAAAAGGGUCAAGCAUUAAUCAUCCCACUAAAGGCAAUAAACUAAAUUUGAAUGACUAUGCCACAUGUGAAUCGAAAGGGGUCAUAUACAUGUUGAAGUGCCCAUGUGGCCUAGUCUAUGUGGGGCAAACAAUUAGAAAUGUAAAAACCAGGAUUAAAGAGCAUAAAGGGGACAUAAGGAAUUAUAAACCAGGAUCUCAGACAGAUACGACUGUAGCCCGACAUUUUAAUGAGGCAAAACAUAGCCACGGGCAAUUGAAAUGGGUGGUCCUCGAAGUAGUACAACCAUUAAGUCAAGGUGGUAACUUUAAGCAAAAGAUGCUACAACGUGAAGCCAAAUGGAUUUCUAAAUUGAAUUCACUAGCCCCAGUUGGGCUUAAUGAUGCCUGGAGUUUGAAAUGCUUUUUAUAAGAAUUGUAAUAUUUACUCUUAUUUAUUUCAGAUAUUAAGUGAUGCCUAUCCUCUCAGCUGGGGGUAAGAGUGUAUCUGAAGAUAUGGAACCUUGGCACUUGGACACUACAUGUACACUGGAGAUCACUGGGACUUUUAAACGUUUUAUACGUUCUAUGUUUUCUACCUAUUUUACACUUUUACUCUGGACUAAUGAGUUAAUUGGUGGGAGGAGGAGCACUGUUUGGCAAUUAAGGCUAUAAGAUGUGGUUUGAUCAUGUGAUUGUUACACUUGAGAAAGGGUCCAUGUGACUCGAAACAUGUCGUGUGUACAAUAAAGCACUAACGCAGCAGA